rnacentral:misc_RNA from 1 species
ACCUGAAGAUACCUUCCCGUGCAGUGUCCACACAGAUUGUCUGAUGAAAAAGUAACGAGCAGAAAAACCUCUACAGGCUUGUAGCUCAGGUGGUUAGAGCGCACCCCUGAUAAGGGUGAGGUCGGUGGUUCAAGUCCACUCAGGCCUACCAAAUUUCGUCUCAUGCUGCGUUAUGCGCGCGGUCGUUUACCUAACCUAAGUAAACUUCCCUUGCGCAUGCCUUGCCUGAGUCAAAAUUACAUUUUCUCUCUUCCUUAUAUAUAAGGAAAAGAAAGUGUACCUGGUACCGUAGAUGGUUUCUGUAAGACUGUAUGGGGCUAUAGCUCAGCUGGGAGAGCGCCUGCCUUGCACGCAGGAGGUCAGCGGUUCGAUCCCGCUUAGCUCCACCAUACUGUUUUUCUAAAUAAAUACUUCAGAGCCUACUGGAUAACAGUAUGCUGCGAAGUAUUAUGCUCUUUAACAAUCCGGAACAAGCUGAAAAUUGAAACGACAUAUUGUUUUCAUUCUCCGUAAUAAGAAUGAAGGUGACGAUAUGUUCGAGUCUCUCAAAUGCUUACAGCUGACAGCGAGUCCUGCGGGACGCCUGUGGGUUGUGA